CCUAAGGGAGGCAGCAGUGGGGGAUAUUGCACAAUGGGGGAAACCCUGAUGCAGCGACGCCGCGUGAGUGAAGAAGUAUUUCGGUAUGUAAAGCUCUAUCAGCAGGGAAGAAAAUGACGGUACCUGAUUAAGAAGCCCCGGCGAACUACGUGCCAGCAGCCGCGGUAAUACGUAGGGGGCAAGUGUUAGCCGGAUUUACUGGGUGUAAAGGGGGCGUAGACGGCAGCACAAGUCUGGAGUGAAAUGCCGGGGCUUAACCCCGGAACUGCUUUGGAAACUGUGCAGCUAGAGUGCAGGAGAGGUAAGUGGAAUUCCUAGUGUAGCGGUGAAAUGCGUAGAUAUUAGGAGGAACACCAGUGGCGAAGGCGGCUUACUGGACUGUAACUGACGUUGAUGCUCGAAAGCGUGGGGAGCAAACAGGAUUAGAUACCCCUGUAGUC
rnacentral:rRNA from 1 species